GAUGAACGCUGGCGGCGUGCUUAACACAUGCAAGUCGAACGAAAAGAUACGGCGUUUGUUCCUUGCACGUUAGGGGCGGGGGGGUGUGAAACACGUGGAAACCCUCCUUUACUGUCGGGGAAAAUUUGGGAAACCGGGCUCAAAUCCGGUAUAAUAUAUUGAACCGCGGGGUUGAUUGGUAAAUUACGGUUUUGUGGGACGUACUAGCGGGUUCCCAGCCGCUUUAGCUAGUUGUUACGUUCACGGCUUUCCAAGGGAAGGAGGCGUGGCCGACUGAAGAGGGUGAUCGGCCACACGGGAACUGAGACGCGGUCCAUACUCCUACGGGAGGCAGCAGUAGGGAAUCUUCCGCAAUGGGCGAAAGCCUGACGGAGCAACGCCGCGUGAGUGAUGAAGGUCUUCGGAUCGUAAAACUCUGUUAUUAGGGAAGAACAAAUGUGUAAGUAACUAUGCACGUCUUGACGGUACCUAAUCAGAAAGCCACGGCUAACUACGUG
rnacentral:rRNA from 1 species